UUGAAUUAUAAGGCUCCGAUUGUGCUGGCCCCUCGGGGCAUGUGCACGUCUCUGCCCGUUAAUCCCAACCCACCCCUGUGAACCGACCGUGUGGGGCGCUCUGUAACGGAGCCGUCCCAUGCUUUAUCAUAAACCCUGUAUGUCAUCAGAAUGUUAUGAUAGGGUUUAUAACCCGAUUAAAUA
rnacentral:misc_RNA from 1 species